rnacentral:rRNA from 1 species
UACGAAGGGAGCUAGCGUUGUUCGGAAUCACUGGGCGUAAAGCGCACGUAGGCGGAUGUGUCAGUCAGGGGUGAAAUCCCAGGGCUCAACCCUGGAACUGCCUUUGAUACUGACGAUCUGGAGAUCGGGAGAGGUUGGUGGAAUUCCGAGUGUAGAGGUGAAAUUCGUAGAUAUUCGGAGGAACACCAGAAGCGAAGGCGGCCAACUGGCCCGAUACUGACGCUGAGGCGCGAAAGCGUGGGGAGCAAACAGG